rnacentral:rRNA from 1 species
GGCGGUAGGCUUAACACAUGCAAGUCGUGCGAGAAAGUAUCUUCGGAUAUGAGUAGAGCGACGGACGGGUGAGUAACGCGUAGGAAUCUACCUAGUAGAAGGGGAUAGCCCGAGGAAACUCGGAUUAAUACCGCAUACCUCCUUCGGGAGAAAGAAGGCCUCUCUUUGAAGCUUUCGCUACUAGAUGAGCCUGCGUAAGAUUAGCUUGUUGGUGAGGUAAAGGCUCACCAAGGCUACGAUCUUUAGCGGGUCUGAGAGGACGAUCCGCCACAUUGGGACUGAGACACGGCCCAGACUCCUACGGGAGGCAGCAGUGGGGAAUAUUGGACAAUGGGCGCAAGCCUGAUCCAGCCAUACCGCGUGUGUGAAGAAGGCCCUAGGGUUGUAAAGCACUUUAAGUUGGGAAGAAAAGUUAUUGGCUAAUACCCAAUGACCGUGACAUUACCAUCAGAAUAAGGACCGGCUAAUUCCGUGCCAGCAGCCGCGGUAAUACGGAAGGUCCAAGCGUUAAUCGGAAUUACUGGGCGUAAAGCGCGCGUAGGUGGUUUAUUAAGUUGGGUGUGAAAUCCCCGGGCUCAACCUGGGACCUGCAUCCAAAACUGAUUCACUAGAGUACGAUAGAGGGAGGUAGAAUUCACAGUGUAGCGGUGGAAUGCGUAGAUAUUGUGAAGA